ensembl:lncRNA
GUCCCAUAGUAAACUUUUGGAGAGAACUGAGUCAUCUGAAUGGGAAUAGAGCACAUUAAUACUCUUGGCUCCAGCACUAGAAGCAUAAGGAAGGAUUAUUUGGUGCUCAGAGAUAGGCUUGGUCAAGCCUUAUGAAAAGCAGUGAAAUUCUAUCUGUGCACAAAAGCUCAUUAAGCCCCAAAAUCUCAUGAUUUCACAGUGAGUGCCAGGGCCAGUUAAUCAGAUACUACCUGCAGCUUUUCUCCUGCUCAGGUGUUUCCGCUUCCACUGUCAGCAUGGCUGUGUGUAGGCCACAUGGAAAUGCAUAGCAAGGAAACUAUGAAAAAAAAAAAACAACCAACAGACACAGAUCAACCUCUACAUAACUGACAACAUUUUGAAUGAUAGCAUGUGGAGCAAAGGAUAUAUAUUCAAUCACUUCAGUUUUAUAAUGGGUUGCUUUUCAUAUUCAAAUAAAUGCCCACUAAUAAAUACCAGAAUCAUAAAUGCAUCCCACAAGGAAAUCUCAUUAAAAGUUAUUCAUCCCAUCCUUCUAUGUCCUCUCCAAAUGUCAGAGAUAAGAUCAGCUUUAUAGUACUCCUGGAAGAUUAACAAGUAUAAAUUUUGUUGAAGCAGUUUGGCAAGAGGAAACAUGUAGAAAGGAGGUCUCAUACUGAAAGCAAGCUGUUACUGCCUCAAAAAUUAGGAUUUCCUCAUCAGUUUUAUUUAACUGACUUCAUCCUUGAGACUGGAUAACAGCAAAGACUUCUGGAAGAAUCUCCAUUGAGUGCAGACGGGAACAGUUUAAGGAUUAAGGGAAAUACUCUGAUUCAGUGUCUAUUUACAGAAACUAAGGUGGGACUUAUUCUGUGAGGGAAUAUGUGCAAGUGUAAUUCCAUUUACAGCAACAAAUAUAACUUUGUAAUUUGUAUAUGUCUGAAAGCAGAAUCUUUUCU